UGAUCCUGGACGCGGGCAAGGAGUUGAUUUAUCUGUGAGAGACAGAAACGUGACAGCUAAGUGCUAACAGGAUACAGUGAUAAUGAACGCAACCUAAUUACCUCAGACCAAACUCCAGCUGUUCAACCCGAACUGGAUUUUGUUAAACUGUCAAUGACUCAAAAAUUAGGUCUGGCAGAAGCUCUGUAACGUCUCAAAACUGCAUCAACCACUGCCACAACUCAUUGGCUUUAUCCCUGCAACCAGAGACACAGAUGGUGGCGUUAAACAACCAUUAAGCUCCUCUCCACGUGAAGAGCAUUUCCUAUUUACUGCAUUUCACUAAAGGCCUAGGUGGUUUUUCUGGUUCAGGAGCUGGUUUGGGUUCAGCAGGCUUGGGCUCUGGAGUCUUGGUUUUCCAGCUGUUAAUGCGACCAGCCACACCGAUGUUCAGACCAGCUGUUUCCUGAGAGGACAGACUCGGGGUGGGAUUGACUACAUUCCCCUUCUCCCACAUACUCUUGAUGCUCCGCAGGCCUUCAGCCACAGGCACAUGGGAUUUCUCUUGCUCCUUCAUAGGUUUCUCAUCUUCCUUCUUCACUGGAGCUUCAUCUUGAAUUUGAACCUUCACCACAACAGGCGUUCCUGACGGGCUCGUCUCCGGCGCUCCCGAGCCACUUCCUCAUCAUCAUCGUGAGAGUUCAUCCUGUAGACACGGUGGGACACAGGCAUAUGUUGUAGAUGGUAGAGAGAAACCCAUAACAGGGGCCACAAUUCUGUUUCUCCAUCCCGAGACCAACAGCGGAAAUCCGAAACAAUCCGUUCCUCUCAGGGAGUUCCAUAUGAAAAAGGUCAUCCAAAAAGACAGUCAGAUGGAGUAUCUGCGAUUUUUCCUGGAAGAAUACAGUCUGUCUUCUGUAAGAAGUGUUGCUGGAUGAAUACAAUAGCUUUCAGACCUCCAGUGUGGCAGAUGAAAUGCAAAGAGAGAUGGAGGGAGAAAGCUCACACUCCUGACAGAUGCUGAAACAUAAUGGCUGAAUAUUGGAAUAAAAGCAGCAGUCAAAACAUUCCAAAGUCUGUGGAGUUUCCUUAACCUGCUGCAGAGAGAUUCAGCACGACAGGCCAGAUUCCCAUUGUACUGAAGACCAGGGCUGCAUUGCAUUUCUCAAAAGCUGGUGCCAAUGGCUUCUAAAAUCUGCUUAGGUUUACAAUGCUUUUGGGAAGCAUUAGCUAGUCAGAAAUACAUAGCUGUGCUAGUUUCAUGUAUUUCAUAUCACUCUGUGGUCUUUUUCAAAAAUUCAGCUUAAAUUAAUAUUUCUUUUACAUUUAGUUAUAAUGUACAGCCAGUCUGUCAUGAUAACUAAAUAAACUCCUUCAGGGUGACAAGAGACCCCUACUUCUUGGUUAUUUUGUUAUAAUAACAGGACA